rnacentral:rRNA from 1 species
CUGGCGGCGUGCCUAAUACAUGCAAGUCGAACGCACUCUCGUUUAGAUUGAAGGAGCUUGCUCCUGAUUGAUAAACAUUUGAGUGAGUGGCGGACGGGUGAGUAACACGUGGGUAACCUGCCCUAAAGUGGGGGAUAACAUUUGGAAACAGAUGCUAAUACCGCAUAAAACCUAACACCGCAUGGUGCAGGGUUGAAAGAUGGUUUCGGCUAUCACUUUAGGAUGGACCCGCGGUGCAUUAGUUAGUUGGUGAGGUAAAGGCUCACCAAGACCGUGAUGCAUAGCCGACCUGAGAGGGUAAUCGGCCACACUGGGACUGAGACACGGCCCAGACUCCUACGGGAGGCAGCAGUAGGGAAUCUUCCACAAUGGACGAAAGUCUGAUGGAGCAACGCCGCGUGAGUGAAGAAGGUUUUCGGAUCGUAAAACUCUGUUGUUGGAGAAGAAUGUAUCUGAUAGUAACUGAUCAGGUAGUGACGGUAUCCAACCAGAAAGCCACGGCUAACUACGUG